rnacentral:rRNA from 1 species
ACGACCAUGCCCCCGAGUCGGAAUAACUUAUGAAGGGUGAGUACAGUGGGUAUCUGCCUUUGGCCCGGAAUAACACGAGGAAACUUGUGCUAAUACCGGAUAAUCUUUACGGAGAAAGCUUUAUGCCCAUUGGAUGAGCCCGCACUUGAUUAGUUAGUUGGUAGGGUAAUGGCCUACCAAGACUGUGAUCAAUAGCUGAUUUGAGAGGUGAUCACCACUGGGCUGAACACGCCCAAACUCUACGGGAGGCAGCGGGGAAUCUUGCACAAGGAGAAACUCUGAUGCAGCGAUGCCGCGUGAGUGAAAAGGCCCUUGGUUGUAAAGUCUUUCGUCGGGAAAAAAUGAUGUACCCGAAUAAGAAGGUCCGGUAACUUCGUGCCACAGCCGCGGUAAUACAAGGGACCUACGUAUUCGGAAUUACUGGGCUUAAAGAGUUCGUAGGUGGUUGAAAAAGUUGGUGGGAAAUCCCAAGCUUAACUCUGGAACUGCCAUCAAAACUUUUCAGCUAGAGUAUGAUAGAGAAGCAGAAUUUCUAGUGUAAGGUGAAAUUCGUAGAUAUUAGAAAGAAUACCAUUGCGAAGGCUUCUGGAUCAUUACUGACACUGAGGAACGAAAGCUGUAGCGAAAGGAUUAGAUACCCUCGUAUCCAUGCCGUAAACGAUGUGUGUUAGACGUUGGAAAUUUAUUUUCAGUGUCGCAGCGAAAGCAUAMACACACCCCUGGGAGUACACCGCAGGUUAAACUCAAAUGAAUUGACGGGGCCCGCACAGUAUGAGAUGUGGUUUAAUUCGAAGAACGGCAGAACCUUACAACUUGACAUGUUCGUCGCGACUCUAAGAGAUUAGAGUUUUCGUUCGGCCGGACGAAACACAGGUGCUCAUGGCUGUCGCACUCGUUCUGAGAUGUGGUAAUCCCCAACGAGCGCACCUCACUUUAUGCUCAUUAGUGCUCUAGAACUGUGAUAGCUGAGUGGAUGACGUCAGUCUCAUUCGUUGGCUAGGCUAUCUACAACUGAGCUAGCAUCAAAAUCCUU